GGCUGAUCGCGAAUGGGAGAGAGGCUGCAGACGUGGAGGGAAGGAAGAUGAACUCAUCCGUGGAGGGAAGAAACCUUGAAUCACGGAUGGUGGCUGGCUGUGAUUCACGAACGUGAAGAAUCUGGAAGAAGCUGAUCACGGAUGUGGUUGAAUGCUGGGAUAAGGAUUUGUGAUAAGCUGUUGUUUUGAUCCGUGAUGAGCUGCAUCUGCUGGGAGGAUGCGGAGAAAAUCUCGGAUGCGGAAGGAGGAUAAACUCUGUUCUGUUUCCGAAACAGGGGAAGAGGAUGAAUCUUUGAUGGUUGGGGCUUAUCCAUGGAGGGGAUGAAGCUGGCUUCAUGCGGAUGAAGGAUGAGAUAAAGAUGAAUCUAUUGGAUGGAUGCUAAGCUGUUAAUCUGAAUGCUAGGAGGUUUGGGGAUCUGGCGGAAGAAGAGGAAUACGUGGGAGAAGAACAUGGGACGUUGGGAUGCUGUUCUCGGCUGAGAGAUGGUUUGGUUCGGAAGAGGGAAGACACGCGGAUAGGAGGAAUCCAGAAGCAAGGAAUCACGGAGAAGAUGGGCACAGGCGCGAGGGAUUCGGAAGAGAUGAAGCUGGGAGAUGAGUGGAUCACGGGAGGAUGAACUUGAUUCGGUUGGGAACAGGGGAGAUGAUCCUUCAGCUGGGAACGGGAAGAUAAUGCUUUGCUGGGAGAACAAUGCGGAAGGGAAUAAAAAA
rnacentral:lncRNA from 1 species